AUUGAACGCUGGCGACAGGCCUAACACAUGCAAGUCGAACGGAGUGGCGGACGGGUGAGUAAUGCCUAGGAAUCUGCCUGGUAGUGGGGGAUAACGUCCGGAAACGGGCGCUAAUACCGCAUACUAUCAGAUGAGCCUAGGUCGGAUUAGCUAGUGGGUGGGGUAAAGGCCUACCAAGGCGACGAUCCGUAACUGGUCUGAGAGGAUGAUCAGUCACACUGGAACUGAGACACGGUCCAGACUCCGACGGGAGGCAGCAGUGGGGAAUAUUGGACAAGGGGCGAAAGCCUGAUCCAGCCAUGCCGCGUGUGUGAAGAAGGUCUUCGGAUUGUAAAGCACUUUCAGCGGGGAGGCGUUACCCGCAGAAGAAGCACCGGCUAACUCCGUGCCAGCCGCCGCGGUAAUUC
rnacentral:rRNA from 1 species